rnacentral:rRNA from 1 species
GGACUACUGGGGUAUCUAAUCCGGUUUGCUCCCCACGCUUUCAUGCCUCAAUGUCAGGAACAGAAUAGUUAGCUGCCUUCGCCUUUUUUGGUGUUCCUCUGUAGAUCAACGCAUUUCACCGCUCCACACAGAAUUCCGCCAACCUCUCCUGUCCUCUAGCAAAACAGUAUUACCAGCUUCCGCCAAGUUGAGCCUGACCUUGACCAGUAACUUAUUUUACCAUCUACGCAUCCUUUACGCCCAAUAAAUCCGGAUAACGUUCGCCACCUACGUCUUACCGCGGCUGCUGGCAC